UACGUAGGGUGCAAGCGUUGUCCGGAAUUAUUGGGCGUAAAGAGCUCGUAGGCGGUUUGUCGCGUCGGGAGUGAAAACACCGGGCUUAACUCGGUGCUUGCUUUCGAUACGGGCAGACUAGAGGCAUGCAGGGGAGAACGGAAUUCCUGGUGUAGCGGUGAAAUGCGCAGAUAUCAGGAGGAACACCGGUGGCGAAGGCGGUUCUCUGGGCAUGUCCUGACGUGAGGAGCGAAAGUGUGGGGAGCGAACAGG
rnacentral:rRNA from 1 species